rnacentral:rRNA from 1 species
AUUCAAAGAAUUUGGCGGUAAUUAAAUCUUUUUAGAGGAACCUGUUCUUUAAUUGAUAAUCCACGAUUGAUUUUACUUUUUAUUUAUUUGUAUACCUCUGUCAAUGAAUGUAUUUUAAGAUUAAUUUUCUUUAAUCUUUGGGGAUUGAUGUUAGGUCAAGGUGCAGUUUUUUAAAGUAGAAAUGGGUUACUAUAAUAUUUUUUGGAUUUUUAUUUGGAAUUUUAAAUUGAAAUAGGAUUUAAAAGUAAUUUUUUUUAAAAAAAAAAUU